rnacentral:rRNA from 1 species
UACGAAGGGAGCUAGCGUUGUUCGGAAUUACUGGGCGUAAAGCGCGCGUAGGCGGGCUAUUAAGUUAGGGGUGAAAUCCCAGGGCUCAACCCUGGAACUGCCCUUGAUACUGGUAGUCUAGAGAUCUAGAGAGGUGAGUGGAAUUCCGAGUGUAGAGGUGAAAUUCGUAGAUAUUCGGAGGAACACCAGUGGCGAAGGCGGCUCACUGGCUAGAUACUGACGCUGAGGCGCGAAAGUGUGGGGAGCAAACAGG